rnacentral:rRNA from 1 species
AUACGGAGGGUGCAAGCGUUACUCGGAAUCACUGGGCGUAAAGCGCGCGCAGGCGGUCUUUUAAGUUGGAUGUGAAAGCCUACGGCUCAACCGUUGAACUGCAUCCAAAACUAUUAGACUAGAGUGUGGGAGAGGAAGAUGGAAUUAGUUGUGUAGGGGUAAAAUCCGUAGAGAUAACUAGGAAUACCAAAAGCGAAGGCAAUCUUCUGGAACACUACUGACGCUGAGGCGCGAAAGCGUGGGGAGCAAACAGGAUUAGAAACCCCAGUAGUCC